rnacentral:rRNA from 1 species
GUCCGCACAGUAAACGAUGAAUGCUGGUUCUUGGCGAUAUAGUGUCAGGAACUGAGGGAAACCAUUAAGCAUUCCACCUGGGGAGUACGCCGGCAACGGUGAAACUCAAAGGAAUUGACGGGGGCCCGCACAAGCGGAGGAACAUGUGGUUUAAUUCGAUGAUACGCGAGGAACCUUACCCGGGCUUGAAUUGCAGCUGCAUAGGGCAGAGAUGCCCUUUCCUCGGGGCUGCUGUGAAGGUGCUGCAUGGUUGUCGU